CCUACGGGUGGCAGCAGUGAGGAAUAUUGGUCAAUGGGCGGAAGCCUGAACCAGCCAAGUCGCGUGAGGGAUUAAGGCCCUGCGGGUCGUGAACCUCUUUUGCCGGGGAGCAGAGGUCCGGACGUGUCCGGGCCGGGAGAGUACCCGGAGAAAAAGCAUCGGCUAACUCCGUGCCAGCAGCCGCGGUAAUACGGAGGAUGCGAGCGUUAUCCGGAUUUAUUGGGUUUAAAGGGUGCGCAGGCGGAGGUGCAAGUCAGCGGUCAAAUUGCGGGGCUCAACCCCGUACUGCCGUUGAAACUGCAUCCCUUGAGUGCGCGAGAAGUAUGCGGAAUGCGUGGUGUAGCGGUGAAAUGCAUAGAUAUCACGCAGAACUCCGAUUGCGAAGGCAGCAUACCGGCGCGCAACUGACGCUCAUGCACGAAAGCGUGGGUAUCGAACAGGAUUAGAUACCCUUGUAGUC
rnacentral:rRNA from 1 species